UACGGGGGAUGCAAGCGUUAUCCGGAUUUAUUGGGUUUAAAGGGUGCGUAGGCUGUGAGGUAAGUCAGCGGUGAAAUGUCCGAGCUUAACUCGGGAACUGCCUCUAAUACUGUUGAUCUAGAGAGUAGAUGCGGUAGGCGGAAUGUAUGGUGUAGCGGUGAAAUGCUUAGAGAUCAUACAGAACACCGAUUGCGAAGGCAGCUUACCAAUCUAUAUCUGACGUUGAGGCGCGAAAGCGUGGGGAGCAAACAGG
rnacentral:rRNA from 1 species